GACGAACGCUGGCGGCGUGCUUAACACAUGCAAGUCGUACGGUAAGGCCCUUUCGGGGGUACACGAGUGGCGAACGGGUGAGUAACACGUGAGUAACCUGCCCACAACUUUGGGAUAACGCUAGGAAACUGGUGCUAAUACUGGAUAUGUGCUCCUGCUGCAUGGUGGGGGUUGGAAAGCUCCGGCGGUUGUGGAUGGACUCGCGGCCUAUCAGCUUGUUGGUGGGGUAGUGGCCUACCAAGGCGGCGACGGGUAGCCGGCCUGAGAGGGUGACCGGCCAAAUGGGGACUGAGUUACGGCCCAGACUCCAACGGGGGGCAGAGGUGGGGAAUAAUACCAAAGGGGCGGAAGCCUGGGGCGACAACGCCGGGUGGGGGAUGGCGGCCUUCGGGUUGUAAACCGCUUUCAGCAGGGACGAAGCUUUUUGUGACGGUACUGGCAAAAAAAGCACCGGCUAACUACGG
rnacentral:rRNA from 1 species